CAAUGCGAGAAAUGGAAUCCAGGGUCUCACCCAACAUCCAAACCCAUCUCCUCUUCAUCGCAUCUUUUCAAACCAGUCUCGUUUUGAGAAAGGAGACGACUAGACCAGGCCAGCCUGGAAUCCCGGGUAUUCCGCGUGCGCAGUGCGGCUCACGCUACGGUGAACAUCCCAUGCCUCGCACAGCAAGCAGAGCGCUGAACCUAAGGACCGAACUACUUGGUGACUAGUGCUUCAGUCGUCCAUCCGGUCAGGAAAAACUUAGUACUUCCGGGUCACAGACAAAGGCCACAGUCAAGUUGUGGCGGCAUCUUUGAACUUGGCUUACCAGUGUGUGCAUUGCUUUUGGCCUUCACGAUAAACCUGUCUGAGAAGAUUCAGUGGUGGUUUCCCUAUCACUCCCUGUUUCACCUUGAGAAAAGCCUCCCGGUUCCAGGAAAAUGAGUCGCCAUGAGCCUUCCUCAG
ensembl:processed_transcript